GAACGCUGGCGGCGUGCUUAACACAUGCAAGUCGAACGGGAUCCAUCAGGCUUUGCUUGGUGGUGAGAGUGGCGAACGGGUGAGUAAUGCGUGACCGACCUGCCCCAUACACCGGAAUAGCUCCUGGAAACGGGUGGUAAUGCCGGAUGCUCCAGUUGAUCGCAUGGUCUUCUGGGAAAGCUUUCGCGGUAUGGGAUGGGGUCGCGUCCUAUCAGCUUGACGGCGGGGUAACGGCCCACCGUGGCUUCGACGGGUAGCCGGCCUGAGAGGGCGACCGGCCACAUUGGGACUGAGAUACGGCCCAGACUCCUACGGGAGGCAGCAGUGGGGAAUAUUGCACAAUGGGCGCAAGCCUGAUGCAGCGACGCCGCGUGAGGGAUGGAGGCCUUCGGGUUGUAAACCUCUUUUAUCGGGGAGCAAGCGAGAGUGAGUUUACCCGUUGAAUAAGCACCGGCUAACUACGUNNCAGCAGCCGCGGUAAUACGUAGGGUGCAAGCGUUAUCCGGAAUUAUU
rnacentral:rRNA from 1 species